GUGCUCGCUUCGGCAGCACAUAUACUAAAACUGGAACGAUACAGAGAAGAUUAGCAAGGCCCCUGCACAAGGAUGACACGCAAAUUCGUGAAGCGUUCCGUAUUUUU
rnacentral:snRNA from 1 species